AAGAAUAGAGAGUCUGUUCGACUUUUAAACAUUUACAUGAUUUGAGUUCAGACCGGCGCAAGCCAGGUCGGUUUCUAUCUUCUUAAAAAGUUUUCAGUACGAAAGGACAAAAACUUUAGUAUUUUAC
rnacentral:rRNA from 1 species